AACAAAGAUAGAGGUUGCGUUUUUCAAGAGUAGUUUUUCUGAUGUGACAGGCACAGGUGAGGAAAGAUAAAAGGGGAACACGCCGAAAGAGGAGAUGACCUGUGAAUCAAGUCUUGGGCAUGCGGUUAAAAACCGUAUGACUGUCAUCUAUGAUUAGAUGGGGCGCUAUCGGUAAA
rfam:Clostridium sp. CAG:510 genomic scaffold, scf40